rnacentral:rRNA from 1 species
AUUGAACGCUGGCGGCAGGCCUAACACAUGCAAGUCGAACGGUAACAGGAAACAGCUUGCUGUUUCGCUGACGAGUGGCGGACGGGUGAGUAAUGUCUGGGAAACUGCCUGAUGGAGGGGGAUAACUACUGGAAACGGUAGCUAAUACCGCAUAACGUCGCAAGACCAAAGAGGGGGACCUUCGGGCCUCUUGCCAUCGGAUGUGCCCAGCUGGGAUUAGCUAGUAGGUGGGGUAACGGCUCACCUAGGCGACGAUCCCUAGCUGGUCUGAGAGGAUGACCAGCCACACUGGAACUGAGACACGGUCCAGACUCCUACGGGAGGCAGCAGUGGGGAAUAUUGCACAAUGGGCGCAAGCCUGAUGCAGCCAUGCCGCGUGUAUGAAGAAGGCCUUCGGGUUGUAAAGUACUUUCAGCGGGGAGGAAGGGAGUAAAGUUAAUACCUUUACUCAUUGACGUUACCCGCAGAAGAAGCACCGGCUAACUCCGUG